UACAGAGGUCUCAAGCGUUGUUCGGAUUCAUUGGGCGUAAAGGGUGCGUAGGCGGAUUGUUAAGUCAGGGGUGAAAUCCUGGAGCUCAACUCCAGAACUGCCUUUGAUACUGGCGAUCUUGAGUCCGGGAGAGGUGAGUGGAACUGCGAGUGUAGAGGUGAAAUUCGUAGAUAUUCGCAAGAACACCAGUGGCGAAGGCGGCUCACUGGCCCGGUACUGACGCUGAGGUGCGAAAGCUAGGGGAGCGAACGGG
rnacentral:rRNA from 1 species